GACGUAGGAUGCAAGCGUUGUCCGGAUUUAUUGGGCGUAAAGAGUUCGUAGGCUGUUUGUUAAGUCUGAUGUUAAAGACUGGGGCUCAACCUCGGAAAUGCAUUGGAUACUGGCAGACUGGAGUGCAGUAGAGGCUAGUGGAAUUCCCGGUGUAGAGGUGAAAUUCGUAGAUAUCGGGAGGAACACCGGUGGCGAAGGCGGCGACCUGGGUAGAUACUGACGCUGAGGUGCGAAAGCGUGGGGAGCAAACAGG
rnacentral:rRNA from 1 species